AUUGAACGCUGGCGGAAUGCUUUACACAUGCAAGUCGAACGGCAGCACGGGGCAACCUGGUGGCGAGUGGCGAACGGGUGAGGUAAUACAUCGGAACGUGCCCAAUCCGUGGGGGAUAACGUAGCGAAAGUUACGCUAAUACCGCAUACGAUCUACGGAUGAAAGCGGGGAUCGCAAGACCUCGCGCGAAUGGAGCGGCCGAAUGUCAGGAUUAGGUAGUUGGUGGGGUAAAGGCUCACCAAGCCAACGAUCUGUAGCUGGUCUGAGAGGACGACCAGCCACGACUGGAACUGAGACACGGUCCAGACUCCUACGGGAGGCAGCAGUGGGGAAUUUUGGACAAUGGGCGCAAGCCUGAUCCAGCCAUUCCGCGUGCAGGAUGAA
rnacentral:rRNA from 1 species